AUUCCAGCUCCAAUAGCGUAUAUUAAAGUUGUUGCGGUUAAAAAGCUCGUAGUUGGAUUUCUGUCAAUGUUUACCGAUCCUUCUUCAUGUUGGCAUCUGGUAGACAAGACAAAUCUUGGUUUACGUGUCGGCGCUUAAUUGUGCUGCGCAACUUCCAAGUCAUUUACUUUGAGGAAAUUAGAGUGUUUCAAGCAGGCAUAUGCCUUGAAUACAUUAGCAAGGAAUAAUAAUAUAAGACUUUGGUUUUGUUUUGUUGGUUCUAAAAACUAAAGUAAUGAUAAAUAGGGACAGUCGGGGGCAUUCGUACUUAACUGUCAGAGGUGAAAUUCUUGGAUUUGUUAAAGACGAACUACUGCGAAAGCAUUUGCCAAGGAUGUUUUCAUCA
rnacentral:rRNA from 1 species